rnacentral:rRNA from 1 species
UACAGAGGUGGCAAGCGUUGUUCGGAAUUACUGGGCGUAAAGGGCGCGUAGGCGGCCUUGUCAGUCAGACGUGAAAUCCCCAGGCUUAACCUGGGAACUGCGUCUGAUACUACAAGGCUUGAGUGCGGGAGAGGGAUGUGGAAUUCCAGGUGUAGCGGUGAAAUGCGUAGAUAUCUGGAGGAACACCGGUGGCGAAGGCGGCAUCCUGGACCGACACUGACGCUGAGGCGCGAAGGCCAGGGGAGCAAACGGG